rfam:Schistosoma mansoni strain Puerto Rico chromosome 2, complete genome
AUUCGGCUGACGAGUCCCAAAUAGGACGAAACGCGUGUCCUGGAU